rnacentral:rRNA from 1 species
AGAGUUUGAUCCUGGCUCAGGACGAACGCUGGCGGCGUGCUUAACACAUGCAAGUCGAACGGUGAAGUCAGUGCUUGCACUGGCGGAUCAGUGGCGAACGGGUGAGUAACACGUGAGUAACCUGCCCCUGACUCUGGGAUAACCCCGGGAAACCGGAGCUAAUACCGGAUACGAACCACUCAGGCAUCUGAGAGGUUGGAAAGAUUUAUCGGUCAGGGAUGGACUCGCGGCCUAUCAGCUUGUUGGUGGGGUAACGGCCCACCAAGGCGACGACGGGUAGCCGGCCUGAGAGGGCGACCGGCCACACUGGGACUGAGAGACGGCCCAGACUCCUACGGGAGGCAGCAGCAAGGAAUUUUCGGCAAUGGGCGCAAGCCUGACCGAGCAACGCCGCGUGCAGGAUGACGGCCUUCGGGUUGUAAACUGCUUUUGCGGGGGAAGAUACAGACGGUACCCCGCGAAUCAGGCUCGGCUAACUCUGUGCCAGCAGCCGCGGUAAGACAGAGGAGCCAAGCGUUGUCCGGAUUAACUGGGCGUAAAGCGCACGCAGGUGGUCGCGGGCGUCGGUACUGAAAGUUCGCCGCUUAACGGCGAGAGGCGUACCGAUACGCCGCGACUGGAGGUCGUGAGAGGUCCGUGGAAUUGCCGGUGUAGUGGUGACAUGCGUAGAUAUCGGCAGGAACACCCAAUGGGAAGCCAGCGGACUGGCACGAUGCUGACACUGAGGUGCGAGAGCGUGGGGAGCGAACCGGAUUAGAUACCCCCGUAGUCC